rnacentral:rRNA from 1 species
UACGACUACAUAUCAGGCAUAUCAAUAAGCGGAGGAAAAGAAACUAACUAGGAUUCCCUCAGUAACGGCGAGUGAAGCGGGAAGAGCUCAAAUUUGAAAUCUUCAAGGUUUUACCUUGACGAAUUGUAGUUUAAAGAAGUGUUUUCUGUUGGAGUUUUGGUAAAAGUUCUUUGGAAUAGGACAUCAUAGAGGGUGAGAAUCCCGUAUUUGACCAUUAUUUCCAGCUUUGUGAUACACUUUCAAAGAGUCGGAUUGUUUGGGAAUGCAGUCCAAAAUGGGUGGUAAAUUUCAUCUAAAGCUAAAUAUUGGCGAGAGACCGAUAGCGAACAAGUACCGUGAGGGAAAGAUGAAAAGAACUUUGAAAAGAGAGUUAAACAGUACGUGAAAUUGUCAAAAGGGAAGCGUUUGACACCAGUGUUGUUUCUACGAAAAUCAAUUUAUGAUGGCUUGAUGCUAAGCUUUAAGACUUUAUCCGCUUGUUGUUUAGUUUUCUUGUCUUUGUGAAUGCACUUUUCGUGGAACAAGUCAACAUCAAUUUCUUUUGCUGUAAAAGGGUAAGAGGAAGGUGGCUUCGGCUUCGGUUGAAGUGUUUAUAGCCUUUUAUCUCUGCAGUCGGAGAGAUUGAGGUCUGCAGCGUAGGACUCUUCGGGGUUAGAUACGUCGGUGCUAAGCUAUAGCUUUUCAUAGACAACUUGUUGACUAUGUUUAGUCAUGUGGCUUACCCGCUGGCGCUAUUUUACCUACGCUUAGGAUGUUGACACACGCGCGUGCUCG